UAAUCUUCGACUGAAGAAAGCCUUCGAUCCC
rnacentral:piRNA from 1 species